GAUGAACGCUGGCGGCGUGCCUAAUACAUGCAAGUCGAGCGAACAGAUGAGGAGCUUGCUCCUCUGACAUUAGCGGCGGACGGGUGAGUAACACGUGGAUAACCUACCUAUAAGACUGGGAUAACUUCGGGAAACCGGAGCUAAUACCGGAUAAUAUAUUGAACCGCAUGGUUCAAUAGUGAAAGACGGUUUUGCUGUCACUUAUAGAUGGAUCCGCGCCGCAUUAGCUAGUUGGUAAGGUAACGGCUUACCAAGGCAACGAUGCGUAGCCGACCUGAGAGGGUGAUCGGCCACACUGGAACUGAGACACGGUCCAGACUCCUACGGGAGGCAGCAGUAGGGAAUAUUCCGCAAUGGGCGAAAGCCUGACGGAGCAACGCCGCGUGAGUGAUGAAGGUCUUCGGAUCGUAAAACUCUGUUAUUAGGGAAGAACAAAUGUGUAAGUAACUAUGCACGUCUUGACGGUACCUAAUCAGAAAGCCACGGCUAACUACGUG
rnacentral:rRNA from 1 species